UACGGAGGGUGCAAGCGUUAUCCGGAUUCACUGGGUUUAAAGGGUGCGUAGGUGGGCUGGUAAGUCAGUGGUGAAAUCUCCGAGCUUAACUCGGAAAGGUCAACUGAUACUGUGCGACUAGAGUGCGGAAGGGGCAACUGGAAUUCUUGGUGUAGCGGUGAAAUGCGUAGAUAUCAAGAGGAACACCUGCGGCGAAGGCGGGUUGCUGGGCCGACACUGACGCUGAGGCGCGAAAGCUAGGGGAGCGAACGGG
rnacentral:rRNA from 1 species